rnacentral:lncRNA from 1 species
CUUAAAAGGAGGGUGGCUGAUUUUGGGGAGUGGGAUAAAGUUGGGUGGGGUGAGUGGCCUGGCCGACUGAGACAGUCACUCCCCUCACCCCCCAUUGUGCAUUUCAGUGUGCUGAUAGGGAGAUGGGUAAGAAAAUCACAUGACAGGUGCCCCAGGCCCAAGCAGAGCAGGGUUCCUCUGUGGGAGGCAGAGGAAAGGCUGAGACUUGCUGUGAGGGCCUCUGUCCACCAGCCUGAGCCGGAGCAACAGCAGAGCUUCCCCUGACCCCCGCCUACUCUCACCACCGUGGCCACAUCACCAGGCUCAGAUUCAGAGAGCAAAGGGCUUGGGGGAGGCCCAAGGAGGUACUUGGGUACUUGGUGCCUCCUGUGCUGUGGCCCAAUGUGCCUCGACUCAGAGGGGGAUUAAGGUUCUGCCACCACAUUUCAGGUUCAAUCUGUGCAUGAUCAGGUGGCCCAAUGGCUGGAGAGUUUGACAGGUGGCCUCGGGCCUGAGUGCCCUUUGCUGGUUUGAAGCACAUUGCUGGACCCAGAAACCCCUGCCUUAAAUCUUGGGCGUGCAGAGUUGUAAAUCAGCCUGGGGUGAAAUUUGGCUUCUGGAAAGCUGGGCUUUUGGUCAUGAAUGCAGUGCAUUAAUGUGGUGGUGCUGUGGGGGCAGGUCUCAGCCUCUCCCUGUACCUUUCUCUCUCGAGAUCUCCACCUCCUCCUUCCUCCUGUUCCACCUGAGCCUCUUCCUCCUCUGCAGGGGACUCUGUCAAGGAACCUACCUCAAUCCAGGGAGUGUGAAUGAUGCCUGGGAGGUCCUGGAUCUCAAGCCAGAGAUCUCAAGCUUUUCCUUCCCUCCCACCUGAUCCUCUCCCUCCUCCGCCAGACACCUGCUGCAGGGAGGUCCUAAAACCAGGUAACUUUUACAAAGGCUGCAUGGUCCUUGGGUUCAUGCUGGGUCCCAGGCUUGAAGGGUGCUGACUGAUCAGGGGCUGCUCACAGGACUUACCAAGUGGGGUUGUUGAUUUCAGGGUGUGGGGUGAGUUCCGGCUCUGAGAUUGUCACACCCCAGCCCGUAGCGUGUUUCUGGGCGCUGAAAGGGAGAGGAGGAAGGAAAUCACACUGGCAGUGCCCCCGGGCCCUGCAGAGCGGACUUCUGCCGUUGGAGGCUGUCAGGGCUCCGAGUUGCUGUUAGAGCAGCGCAUUCUGGUCAAAGGGCUCUGGAGAACCCCGGAGACCCUCCACUCCUUCAGGCUGAAAUACGUGGUUGCCGAUUGUAUGACGAGACCCCACGGAAGUGCUCGGGGCUGAGAUGGGGUUACAGGGCGCCUCUUAUCAUCUGGCCAAUUUCUUUCACCUCAGGAUACUGGCAUAAUUCUGCUCACACAUCUUUGGCUCAAAUUCAGUGUGUUUCUCUGAUAAAUGACCAGAAAAUUUGACAGGCUCUCUGAGGGACAAGCAAAUUCCUGGCUUGAAUCUCGAAUGUUCAGGUUUCUGAAACCAGGCUGACAUCACGCCCUCUCUUCUUGGGUGUUCAGUUCGCUGAGAGGAAGGAGCAGAGGACACUCACGCCGGUCUGUGCCCAAGACCAGUGCUUCAAACGGCAAAGCCCCAUCUUUAGCCCUGGUGUUUCUGGACCCAAGGGUCUGCCUCUGGAGAAACAGGGCCAGCUGACCCAGGGAGCCUGUCACACUCUGGCCCUGGGGCACCGAUCUGGCUGACAUGCCCGCCAGAUGCUGAGGGCACAGCUGUGUCCCUGCCCUGAGGUGAGUCCGUUUGGCCAGAGCCGUAGAGGCUCCCUGUUUCCAGCCCAAGCCUCUGAGCAUGUGCUGAGGGUCCCACAGUCCUCCCUCAACUGCACCUCUG